rnacentral:tRNA from 1 species
GGGACGUUAGCUCAGUCGGUAGAGCAGCGGACUUUUAAUCCGUUGGUCGUCGGUUCGAUCCCGAUACGUCCCACCA